rnacentral:rRNA from 1 species
UACGGGGGGAGCAAGCGUUGUUCGGAUUUACUGGGCGUAAAGGGCGCGUAGGCGGUCGUGACAAGUCACUUGUGAAAUCUCCGGGCUUAACUCGGAACGGUCAAGUGAUACUGUCGGACUAGAGUACAGAAGGGGCAACUGGAAUUCUCGGUGUAGCGGUGAAAUGCGCAGAUAUCAGGAGGAACACCGGUGGCGAAGGCGGAUCUCUGGGCCGUAACUGACGCUGAGGAGCGAAAGCAUGGGGAGCGAACAGG